CCUACGGGAGGCAGCAGUGGGGGAUAUUUCACAAUGGGGGAAACCCUGAUGCAGCGACGCCGCGUGGGUGAAGAAGCGCCUCGGCGCGUAAAGCCCUGUCAGCAGGGAAGAAAAUGACGGUACCUGAAGAAGAAGCCCCGGCUAACUACGUGCCCGCAGCCGCGGUAAUACGUAGGGGGCAAGCGUUAUCCGGAUUUACUGGGUGUAAAGGGGGCGCAGACGGCGAGGCAAGCCAGGAGUGAAAGCCCGGGGCCCAACCCCGGGACUGCGCUUGGAACUGCGUGGCGAGAGUGCAGGAGGGGCAGGCGGAAUUCCUGGUGUAGCGGUGAAAUGCGUAGAUAUCAGGAGGAACACCGGUGGCGAAGGCGGCCUGCUGGACUGCAACUGACGUUGAGGCCCGAAAGCGUGGGGAGCAAACAGGAUUAGAUACCCUGGUAGUC
rnacentral:rRNA from 1 species